UACGUAGGUGGCAAGCGUUGUCCGGAUUUACUGGGCGUAAAGAGCGCGCAGGCGGUUGUUUAAGUCGAAUGUGAAAGCCCCCGGCUCAACUGGGGAGGGUCAUUCGAUACUGAUCGACUUGAAGGCAGGAGAGGGAAGUGGAAUUCCGGGUGUAGUGGUGAAAUGCGUAGAGUAUCCGGAGGAACACCAGUGGCGAAGGCGAACUUCCUGGCCUGGUUACGUUGACUCGUCGUGACGGGCGC
rnacentral:rRNA from 1 species